CCGGGUUGCUUUAACCCAUGCAAGUCGAACGGUCACUUCGGUGAUAGUGGCGGACGGGUGAGUAACGCGUGAGAAUCUAGCUCUAGGUCGGGGACAACCACUGGAAACGGUGGCUAAUACCGGAUGAGCCGAAAGGUAAAAGAUUAAUUGCCUAGAGAUGAGCUCGCGUCUGAUUAGCUAGUAGGUGUGGUAAGAGCGCACCUAGGCGACGAUCAGUAGCUGGUCUGAGAGGAUGAUCAGCCACACUGGGACUGAGACACGGCCCAGACUCCUACGGGAGGCAGCAGUGGGGAAUUUUCCGCAAUGGGCGAAAGCCUGACGGAGCAAUACCGCGUGAGGGAGGAAGGCUCUUGGGUUGUAAACCUCUUUUCUCAGGGAAUAAGAACUGAAGGUACCUGAGGAAUAAGCAUCGGCUAACUCCGUGCCAGCAGCCGCGGUAAUACGGAGGAUGCAAGCGUUAUCCGGAAUGAUUGGGCGUAAAGGGUCCGCAGGUGGCCUUGUAAGUCUGCUGUUAAAGAGUGAGGCUUAACCUCAUAAAAGCAGUGGAAACUACAAAGCUAGAGUGCGUUCGGGGUAGCAGGAAUUCCUGGUGUAGCGGGAAAUGGGGUAG
rnacentral:rRNA from 1 species